AUCGCUUGAACCCAUGAGGCAGAGGUUGCAGUGAGCCCAGAUCACGCCAUUACAAUCCAGCCUGAGUGACAUAGCGAGACUGUCUCAAAAAAAAAAAAAAAAAGAAAAGAAAAGAAAGAAAGAAAAAACAACAUUAUUUCAAAUCAAAUUUUACUCUGCUAUACACAGGAACCUGUCUCAUUCUACCUUCUCCCUGCCUCUUGCUCCCUGGGAUCAUCUCCCAAAUAAAUUACCUGUAUCCAUUUCUCUGUCUUAACUUCUGCCUUCAGGGACACUCAGUGAAGGGAAGUAUAUUCCUCGUUAAUUCCUGAGCAUUCCCCAGGGUAUUGCUUCAUGUGUGUUCAGGAACAGGAUCUUCAAGAUCUUGCAUGCAGCCACCCCCUGAACUUCUCACCCUGCAGACUCUGCUACCUACAACUCUCAUUAGAUUCUGGCUGAGCCACUGACCGCAGGGUUCUCUCUUGGAGAUUACACACCUGCUACCGUCAGUAGACCUUCAAGGUAAGGGACACUCUUCCAAAAUGGAAACACAUUUUGGAAAUUGUGUGAUUUACCAUGGCUCAGAGGAGAUCUGUCUAUAAAUUUUAAUGGGAUAUGACUAAUGGUUUGAGGAUCAUGGCAGGGUCACACAAUAAUGAUUAUAACCAUCAUACAAGUCCAAAUCUGUCCUGGGGUUUCUUCCUGACAAGGCCAAUUCUUGGCUCCUCAUGUACUGCCUCCAUGGUAGGAAGGUCAGUUCAAACCCUCUCUCUGGAAUCAUGGCUGGUACCUCCACAUCCCAGAGUUCAGGCCAAACUGGCCCUCAGCCCUCAGAAAGAAGGGUUGUUUUUUCGUCCUACUUUAUUCUAAAACCCUUAUAAGUCCUCCAUGUUCUCCGUUUUUUUUGUUUUUUUGUUUUUGGUUCAAAAAGAUAUCUUUUUUCCCAAGAUAAUUGUUGCUGGGA
rnacentral:lncRNA from 10 species